rnacentral:rRNA from 1 species
AUUGAACGCUGGCGGCAUGCCUUACACAUGCAAGUCGAACGACGGCAGGUGGCAACUCCUGUCGAGUGGCGAACGGGUGAGUAACACAUCGGAACGUGUCCCGUCGUGGGGGAUAACCAGUCGAAAGACUGGCUAACACCGCAUGAGAUCGAAAGAUGAAAGCGGGGGACCGCAAGGCCUCGCGCGACGGGAGCGGCCGAUGCCGGAUUAGCUAGUUGGCGGGGUAACGGCCCACCAAGGCGACGAUCCGUAGCUGGUUUGAGAGAACGACCAGCCACACUGGGACUGAGACACGGCCCAGACUCCUACGGGAGGCAGCAGUGGGGAAUUUUGGACAAUGGGCGCAAGCCUGAUCCAGCCAUGCCGCGUGUGUGAAGAAGGCCUUCGGGUUGUAAAGCACUUUCGGACGGAACGAAAUCGCGCGGGCGAAUAUCCCGCGUGGAUGACGGUACCGUAAGAAGAAGCACCGGCUAACUACGUGCCAGCAGCCGCCGUAAUAC